CUCAAUGAUAAAAGAGCUCCAGAGUAUUCAUCUUCCACCGACUCUCUUUCAUCUUCUCCGUUGUAUAUUAUAAAAAUUUUGAUCUCAAAAUUCAUCUACCCAGAUGAUUAUCAUCAGCUUCAGCUACGCCAUCAGAUUUACCGAUUAUUAACUUCAGCUACGCCAUCAGAGUCACCAGCUUCAAACGAUUAUCCAGAAGCUAAUCCUAAUUGUUAUCACCAACUCAGAUUUCUUAUGAUUUUUGGUUUCUCUUCUUCUGAUUCUCUUCAAACUUUUCAAGAUUGCUGUCACAAUUAUUUUGACUUCGUUAGGAAAAUAGCUGAUUUAUUUUUAAUUUUUGUUUCCCAGUUUUUGUACAAAUAUAAUUUCUCUCAUAUUUAGGUUAGUUUAUCAUGGUAUACCUCUUUAUGAUGAAGUUUGGUGAUAUUAAUUUGAGUAUCUGCUUUAAACUCAGUGGCUAUUUGGUGCAAUUUCAACAUAAAAUUGUUCAAUUUCUUUUCUCAUUCUCUGUUUAAUGACCAUAGAUUGAUUUUCCUUACUAGCUUGUCGUUGGUUAUUUGUUGUCAUAAAGGAAAAUAUGUCUUACUUGAGUUAUUGUAACUUGCACAGAAGCUAAAAACCCAGUGUAGUUACUCUUGAAUAGCUUCAUAUCGAACAUCUCAUUCAGGAAGACUACCAUUAUGCAUUAGUUGAAACUGAAUGUAGAGGCGUAAUCUCAUAUUUUAUCCGCCUUGACUUCCCAGAACAUACCAUAAGAACAUCUACUGAAAAUUGUUCUCAUAUUACACGAGUAAUUUAAUGACAUAGAACUUAUAUGCGAGCCACAUUUUCGUUUAAGAUAAACGCAUUUAGAACUAUGUCAACUUCCAAGUAAGUAAUACAUUGAAUUUGUCCCCGUAUUGCUUUUGUCUUUUCCUGAAAGUACCUUACUAGAUGGACUGUAUAUUGAAUUUGUAUAGAAAUUCUUAUAAUUAGGUCUGUCUUUCUGGCUUUCCUAAAUGUGUGGUCUUUUCAUAAGCACCGAUCUUUUGCGUACACGUCUUGGUUUUGUUGUUCAUAAUUGAUUAAUUUUCUUUCAAGUUUCCUUUUUUAUAAUAUUCAACAUUUUUUACUUCUUAAUGUAUGUUUGCGUUGAUUGUAAUCUAUAUAAACCCUGGGAGUUUUUUCCCUUUUAAACCUUUUCUUCAAUGCAGAUCCCCUUCUGCGUGGUGAUUGGAUGGAUUAUGGGUCGUCCUAUGGAUUUGAACUUCCAAAUGUUUGAAACAGCAUUGUUUUUCAUGAGUGUCCUUGUAGUAGCAUUCAUGGUGCAGGACGGAACUUCCAAUUACUUAAAGGACUUAUGCUACUCCUCUGCUACUUGAUAGUCGCUGUGAGCUUCUUUGUGCCUAUAGAUCCAGAUGAUAUAUAUACGUUGAGAUCGAUAUUUUGAUAGGACUAUCAAGAAUUUUGCCGUCGGGCAUUAUAUACGACUGUGGUCAAAGCUUGAAUCCAGCUACAGACAUAGGAUAGGUUCUUCUUCUAAAAGACUACUCCUGUUUCACCUAGAUAUUACCAUGUAUAAUGAGGGGUGGAUCGGGAUUUGGUCGAACCCAAUAAUUUUGAUGUAAAUCCUAUAUGAAUUUUUGGUGGACUUCGGACAGUAUUUAAUUGAAGUUGAAAAAAGAGUAAUCUGGAUGUUGAAGGUGAAAAAGAGUAUUUCGAUGUUGCAGUUGUGCUUAGACAUGAAUUUCACUACUGAUUUGCCAGAAAAUAUUAGUUGAAAAAAGAGUAAUCUGGAUGUUGAAG